AAACCAUGAUGAGGGCAUUGAGACCAAUAGCCCUUGAACCUCUCCCAUGCUUCACUGAAGCUCUCUAGACCUUUCUGUUGAAACCCGGAGAUUUCGUUCCUGAUCUU
rfam:Brassica napus, WGS project CCCW01000000 data, contig: 21189